AUUGAACGCUGGCGGCAUGCUUUACACAUGCAAGUCGAACGGUAGAGGGGGCAACCCCUUGAGAGUGGCGAACGGGUGAGUAAUGCAUCGGAACGUGCCCAGUCGUGGGGGAUAACGCAGCGAAAGCUGUGCUAAUACCGCAUACGAUCUCUGGAUGAAAGCGGGGGACCGAAAGGCCUCGCGCGAUUGGAGCGGCCGAUGUCAGAUUAGGUAGUUGGUGGGGUAAAGGCUCACCAAGCCAACGAUCUGUAGCUGGUCUGAGAGGACGACCAGCCACACUGGGACUGAGACACGGCCCAGACGCCUACGGGAGGCAGCAGUGGGGAAUUUUGGACAAUGGGCGCGAGCCUGAUCCAGCAAUGCCGCGUGCAGGAAGAAGGCCUUCGGGUUGUAAACUGCUUUUGUACGGAACGAAAAGGUCUGGGUUAAUACCCUGGGCACAUGACGGUACCGUAAGAAUAAGCACCGGCUAACUACGUGCCAGCCGCCGCAGUAA
rnacentral:rRNA from 1 species